UUUCCGUAGGUGAACCUGCGGAAGGAUCAUUACCACACUCACUCCAAGCUCGCCCCUUUUUGCGUACCGCUUAUUUCUUUUUUAUUUAUUCUCCUUGUCGAUGUAACAGUCUUCCCCGCCGUCAGUAACAUCUAUCUUUGACUCCCUUUUUUAAACCUGAAUUAUACACUGGAUCAUUUAAGUUAUAUGUCUUUGCAGCCUAUAGCUCUAGCUUAUUAGUUGUACGACAACUUUUAACAAUGCAUAUGUAGGUUCUUGCAUCGAUGACGAACGCAGCAG
rnacentral:misc_RNA from 1 species